UACAGAGGUCUCAAGCGUUUGUUCGGAUUUAUUGGGCGUAAAGCGCUCGCAGGCGGCUCGAUGCGUCGUGCGUGAAACACCCCGGCUCAACUGGGGAGGGUCGUGCGAUACGGUCGAGCUUGAGGCCAGUAGGGGGAUGCGGAAUUCCGGGUGUAGUGGUGGAAUGCGUAGAGAUCCGGAGGAACACCAGCGGCGAAGGCGGCAUCCUGGACUGGUACUGGACGCUCUGA
rnacentral:rRNA from 1 species